rnacentral:rRNA from 1 species
ACGGCAGCACGGAGCUUGCUCUGGUGGCGAGUGGCGAACGGGUGAGUAAUAUAUCGGAACGUACCCUAGAGUGGGGGAUAACGUAGCGAAAGUUACGCUAAUACCGCAUACGAUCUAAGGAUGAAAGUGGGGGAUCGCAAGACCUCAUGCUCGUGGAGCGGCCGAUAUCUGAUUAGCUAGUUGGUAGGGUAAAAGCCUACCAAGGCAUCGAUCAGUAGCUGGUCUGAGAGGACGACCAGCCACACUGGAACUGAGACACGGUCCAGACUCCUACGGGAGGCAGCAGUGGGGAAUUUUGGACAAUGGGCGAAAGCCUGAUCCAGCAAUGCCGCGUGAGUGAAGAAGGCCUUCGGGUUGUAAAGCUCUUUUGUCAGGGAAGAAACGGUGAAAGCUAAUAUCUUUUGCUAAUGACGGUACCUGAAGAAUAAGCACCGGCUAACUACGUGCCAGCAGCCGCGGUAAUACGUAGGGUGCAAGCGUUAAUCGGAAUUACUGGGCGUAAAGCGUGCGCAGGCGGUUUUGUAAGUCUGAUGUGAAAUCCCCGGGCUCAACCUGGGAAUUGCAUUGGAGACUGCAAGGCUAGAAUCUGGCAG